CCGGGCUGCGGACAGUGUCUGGUGGGUAGUUUGACUGGGGCGGUCUCCUCCUAAAGAGUAACGGAGGAGCACGAAGGUCAGCUAAUCACGGUCGGACAUCGUGAGGUUAGUGCAAUGGCAUAAGCUGGCUUGACUGCGAGAGUGACGGCUCGAGCAGGUGCGAAAGCAGGUCAUAGUGAUCCGGUGGUUCUGAAUGGAAGGGCCAUCGCUCAACGGAUAAAAGGUACUCCGGGGAUAACAGGCUGAUACCGCCCAAGAGUUCAUAUCGACGGCGGUGUUUGGCACCUCGAUGUCGGCUCAUCACAUCCUGGGGCUGAAGUAGGUCCCAAGGGUACGGCUGUUCGCCGUUUAAAGUGGUACGCGAGCUGGGUUUAGAACGUCGUGAGACAGUUCGGUCCCUAUCUGCCGUGGGCGCUGGAGAAUUGAGGGGGGUUGCUCCUAGUACGAGAGGACCGGAGUGAACGCACCACUGGUGUUCGGGUUGUCAUGCCAAUGGCAUUGCCCGGUAGCUAAGUGCGGAAAAGAUAAGUGCUGAAAGCAUCUAAGCACGAAACUUGCCCCGAGAUGAGUUCUCCCUGACUCCUUGAGAGUCCUGAAGGGACGUUGAAGACUACGACGUUGAUAGGCCGGGUGUGUAAGCGCAGCGAUGCGUUGAGCUAACCGGUACUAAUGACCCGUGAGGCUUAACCUU
rnacentral:rRNA from 1 species